CUUAGCGUAACCUCUUCUGAGCCGAUUCAGGUGUUUCUGGGAGAAUAGAAUCUUUAAUUAUUUAUUUUUUUUCGUAGGCUAAUACAAGUAAUUGUGGACCACAAUAAGGAUUGCAGCAACGGCGUUACCAAGAAGGAAGUCACUAAGUCCAGCCCAUACUGAAGAAGAGUUGAAGAUAAAGCUCCACGUACUAGAGGGGAUAGUUUUGAUUUGACCCAGUACAUAUUUUCCUUUGAGAUCAUCACCAAGAAGCUGCAAGUGCCAUCACUGACCCAUGCUGUACAAACACUAGUGGGUCUCUGUGAAGGUGACAGUUUUUGAGACCAUUUCCUUGAAGUAGCUGCCUCUUCCCCAGAACCCUGUCCAGGUUAAGUCCACUCUUGAGGUUUUUUCCCCCCGUUCUCUGUAUGCUUUUAAAAAAAUGUUUAUUGUUGAAAUUAUUACAUAUUUCCCUUUUCCCCCUAUUGACCCUUCUAGCCUGCCCCCGGCUCACUGUGCCCCAGUCCUUCACCACCCUAUUGUCUGUGUCUUUGGAUUAUGCAUAUAUGCAUACAAGUCACUCUUGAGUUUUUAUCAAGGCGGGAAAGAUAAAGCUCCACUCCCUGGAGGGUGAGAAAAUUGUGUUGUUUGAUAUUAUAUGUUCAUAUUAAAUUGCACUGAGCA